rnacentral:rRNA from 1 species
AGCUCCAAUAGCGUAUAUUAAAAUUGUUGCAGUUAAAAAGCUCGUAGUUGGAUUUCUGGCUUGGUGCGCGCCGUCCGCUUCCGUUAGGGAGUGUGUGCGGUUGUGCGCCUGCCAUCUUUUUAGACAUUAUGCUGUGCCCUUCACUGGGUGGCAGGUAGUGGCUGAAUCUUUUACUUUGAAAAAAUUAGAGUGUUCAAAGCAGGCUUGCGCUAUGAAUACAUUAGCAUGGAAUAAUAAUUUAGGACUCCCGUUCUAUUUUGUUGGUUUCUAGGAUGGAAGUAAUGAUUGAUAGGGAUAGUUGGGGGUGCUAGUAUUCAGAGGCCAGAGGUGAAAUUCUUGGAUUCUCUGAAGACUAACUUAUGCGAAAGCAUUCACCAAGGAUGUCUUCU